rnacentral:lncRNA from 1 species
GUUGUGAAAAUAAAUAAAUAAUAAUAAUAAUAAUAAUAAUUUGUACAUCGUAUAACUAGCAAAAAGAUGCAGAAUACUGAGGUGAAUAUGUCCAUACUUAAAUGUCUACCUUAAAAAAAUGAAGUGAACGUCUACUUGGGAAGUGAAGUGUUUUCAGCUUCUGUGCUUAAGCGGCUCUUAUUCAAAAGCUACUGAUUCUGUUCACAAAAGAUGCGGAAUACUGAUACAGACUAUGAAAGGCAUUCCAACAUAAAUCACGUUCUUGCAUUGAAACCAGCCAUGAUGAAUGCAUACGAUUCUCUCAUGAUCGGGAAUUGUUUAAACUACCUUUCCUUCUUUGACAAGUGCUUGGCCGUGGAUGCAAUAACCUGAGAGAGAGUGAAGGGAUAAAAUGAAGUUGAUACUUCUUGACAAGUGCUUUUCCACCAAUUUUUUCCCAAAAAAAAAUAUUUUAACUAUCUUGACGAGCUCACCUAAUAUACUAGAAGGCCCAAAUCAAUUUUUUAUCCAAGUGAUGCUCCUUUAAUUCCUUUUAAAGAAGAUUUUUUUUGGAAUGUUUUAAUAAUCUUCCUAUGUGGGACACUACAUUUUUAAAGGGUACUUCUCUUCUAAUGUUUUAGUGGUCUUUCAAUGUGAGAU